rnacentral:lncRNA from 1 species
AUUCUGGAAAACCAAGCUGCCAACAACUAGGGGUGCAAGAGCGUAAGUGACGUAAAGAAACAGUGUUGGUGUGUGAAUAGGACAAGCAGUAGUGUGGUCCAGCCAAGGACUGGGGAGCUUUGGAGGUGGAACUGCACCUUGGGGCCUCCCGGGGAAUGCCUGUCAAUCUCUCAAGUCCUUAGAUAUCACCGUACUUCCCUGGAUGGACACAUUCAAGAUCAGUGUCACCUGCCAAUUCUUGAAGGAGCAUUCCAAAAUUUGGCAUCGAACCAACUCCCUUUCCUCUUGAAUGUCCCACAAUGCCCUGUGAUAAGGAGGGGAGAGCUUUCUUCCUUCCUCUCCCUGUUUGGAAGGACCCCCAUCAGUGUGGAGUGACUCUGUUUCCAGACUUGCUCUUCAACAUGUUAAAGGAAGGGCUUUGCCAUGUGAGCAUUCUUCUUUCCUCUGCUUCUAAGAAUUGUCUUGUUCUUAACAAAAAAACUUGAUUUGACACUUAAAAUAUAAUUUCCAUUCAGGUACAUGUUCAUUAUUUGCUCAGCAGAAAAUAAACUCCAAGAAGUGAGAACAUUUCCCUUUUCUUUGCUGUCUCCACAGUGCCCAGACAAUGCUAGACAUAUAACCAUUGCUCAGUAAAUACUUCUUUGAUGGAAACAAUGGCUUCUGUCAUGGAGAACUUGCCCAUCAACAGCCGCCCCUCUGUGAGCGUCGCAGGGACGGUGGGAAACACAGCAAGCCCAAAGAAAAGCCUUUGAAUUCCCUCACAGGCUUUGAGUCCUCAAAGCCUGAAUCCACCAAGCUGAUUGUUCCAGAAGCGCAAGAGGGAAAUGCCUGGGAUCCCCUCAGAGAGACAGGAAGAAGGAAGGAGGAGCGUGGUCAGGAAGAGGCCCUAUGGGCUGGGAAGAGGGACGGUCUUCCUCAGAUGGACGGUCUUCCUCAGAUGGGUUCUCCGUCAGCAGACCACCCAGCCGCGGCUGUUUCCCUGCAAGCAUCGUCUGUGAUUCCAGUGAGUGCUCACCAGGGAGGUGUUUUUGUCUGGGUUCUAGCGUCCCAGGGAAAGGUUUUGCA